rnacentral:tmRNA from 1 species
GGGGGUGACUGGUUUCGACAGGGUACGUUUGAGGUGGGAAGCAAGCCGUGGUCUCCUCGCCACGUUAAACAGGGGUCCUGUCAAAUUGAAUUGACAACGAUAACGCUUUUGAGCCUCAACUGGCUCUCGCUGCUUAAUUAGAUAGCAGCCGCCGAAGCGGAGGUUUCUCCUGCCACCGUGGACGCGUCAUUCUAGGGAGAUGCUCGUGCGGACGUAGCCGGUAUGCCGCACGAAAAGACUGAACCAGCUAGGGUGCCGAGCGCGGGUCAUCAGGUGCGAAGCUCCCGAACUCCAACUGGUGACUGAGCUUGGAGAAACCUGCUAGGGAUGUGCUUUGGACCGGAGUUCGAUUCUCCGCACCUCCACC